UGUGGCUCAGUGGCAGAGCACUUGCCUCGAAUGUAUGAGGCACUGGGUUCAAUCCUCAGCA
rnacentral:tRNA from 1 species